AAUUAUGUGUCUUGGAGUUGCUCUUCUCGAGGAGUAUCUUUGCGGCAUUCUCUGUAUUUCCUGAAUCUGAACGUUGGCCUGCCUUUCUAGAUUGAGGAAGUUCUCCUGGAUGAUAUCCUGCAGAGUGUUUUCCAACUUGGUUCCAUUCUCCCCGUCACUUUCAGGUACACCAAUCAGACAUAGAUUUGGUCUUUUCACAUAGUCCCAUAUUUCUUGGAGGCUUUGCUCAUUUCUUUUUAUUCUUUUUUCUCUAAACUUCCCUUCUCACUUCAUUUCAUUCAUUUCAUCAUCCAUCGCUGAUACCCUUUCUUCCAGUUGAUCGCAUCGGCUCCUGAGGCUUCUGCAUUCUUCACAUAGUUCUCGAGCCUUGGUUUUCAGCUCCAUCAGCUCCUUUAAGCACUUCUCUGUAUUGGUUAUUCUAGUUAUACAUUCUUCUAAACUUUUUUCAAAGUUUUCAACUUCUUUGCCUUUGGUUUGAAUUUCCUCCCGUAGCUCAGAGUAAUUUGAUCGUCCGAAGCCUUCUUCUCUCAGCUCGUCAAAGUCAUUCUCCAUCCAGCUUUGUUCCCUUGCUGGUGAGGAAAUGUGUUCCUUUGGAGGAGGAGAGGUGCUCUGCUUUUUAGAGUUUCCAGUUUCUCUGUUCUUUUUUUUCCCCAUCUUUGUGGUUUUAUGUACUUUUGGUCUUUGAUGAUGGUGAUGUACAGAUGGGUUUUUGGUGUGGAUGUGCUUUCUGUUUGUUAGUUUUCCUUCUAACAGACAGGACCCUCAGCUGAAGGUCUGUUGGAGUACCCGGCCGUGUGAAGUGUCAGUCUGCCCCUGCUGGGGGGUGCCUCCCAGUUAGGCUGCUCGGGGAUCAGGGGUCAGGGACCCACUGGAGGAGGCAGUCUGCUUGUUCUCAGAUCUCCAGCUGUGUGCUGGGAGAACCACUGCUCUCUUCAAAGCUGUGAGACAUGGACAUUUAAGUCUGCAGAGGUUACUGCUGUCUUUUUGUUUGUCUGUGCCCUGCCCCCAGAGGUGGAGCCUACAGAGGCACGCAGGCCUCCUUGAGCUGUGGUGGGCUCCACCCAGUUUGAGCUUCCCGGCUGCUUUGUUUACCUAAGCAAGCCUGGGCAAUGGCGGGCGCCCCUCCCGCAGCCUCGCAGCCGCUUUGCAGUUUGAUCUCAGACUGCUGUGCUAGCAAUCAGCGAGACUCCGUGGGCGUAGGACCCUCUGAGCCAUGUGCGGGAUAUAAUCUCCUGGUGUGCCGUUUUUUAAGCCCAUCGGAAUAGCGCAGUAUUCGGGUGGGGGUGACCCGAUUUUCCAGGUGAAGUCUGUCACCCCUUUCUUUGACUGGGAAAGGGAACUCCCUGACCCCUUGUGCUUCCCGAGUGAGGCAAUGCCUCGCCCUGCUUUGGCUCACGCACUGCACGCGCACCCACUGACCUGCGCCCCCUGUCUGGCACUCCCUAGUGAGAUGAACCCGGUACCUCAGAUGGAAAUGCAGAAAUCACCCAUCUUCUGCAUCGCUCACGCUGGGAGCUGUUGACCGGAGCUGUUCCUAUUCGGCCAUUUUGGCUCCUCCCUUAAUAAUUUCACUUUGGUUCCUUUUUUAUAGUUUCUUUUUAUUAAAAUUCUCAUUUUGUUCAAUAUAUUGCUUUCUUGGUUUCCUUUAGUUCUUCAUUCAUAGUUUCCAUUAGCUCUUUGAGUGUAUUUAAUACAGUUGACUUAAAGCCUUUGUGUAGUAAGUCCAAUAUCUGGUCUUCCUCAGGAAUGAUUUAUUUUUUCCUUUGAAUGGCUGUACUUUUUUGUUUCUUUGUAUACUCAUUGUAUUUCAAAAAUUGCACAUUUGACUAUUAUAAUGUAGUUACCAAGGUUGGUUGUUCUUUAUUCCUGAAGGUUACAGUUUUUCUAUUUUUCUAUUGCAAAGAUUGUAUUCACUGAACUUGUGUUCACUGAAGUCUCUAGUUCUAUUAGCUUCUGUUCAGCUUGUGUUUUCUGAGAUUUUCUUAAGAUCCAGGAGUUCAAAAAAACAAACACAUACAAAACACCACUCCCACUCUUUGAGUAUUGGCUUUGUGCCAUGGCAAGUCUUUUAGGCUUAGCCAAGCCAUUUGCAACUCUGACAUAACCUUCACUUUCUGGUUGCCUUGAGUCUAGAUAUUAGCCAGAGGUGAAAUCUUAGGGUUUUCUCAAACCUUUUCUGAGCAUGCAUUCUGUCCUUAGCAUUAAGUCUAUUUUUAAAUUCCCCGGUAUAUAGGAGGACUUUUGCAUGCCCAAGUUUCCUGAAGAAACUUUCUUCUCAGGCUUUCCUACCAAGAUUUAAACAGUGUGCUGUAUGUAUAGGUCAUAGUCAUUUGCUUCAGGUGGCUGUGUGUUUCUUAUUCACCUUACAAUGUUUUCAAGCAGUGCCCACUGGUUUUCCACCUCGAGUGAGUUCUGAGUUAUGUACUUUUAUAUGUGUGCUAUAUACUGUAGUAUUUUCUGCUGUUUUAUUUCUUUUUCUCAAAAAGGCCAGUAGCAUACUACUAGAUAUUAAUUUCAAAUAACCUCCUUUCUUUUCAAAGUCUCUGCAUUACAGAAUUAAUAUAAAAGGUACUUGGGAUUUGAGAGUGACUCUUGCCUUAUUCCACUAGCUUUCACCCAUAGUGCAACCUUAGGAAUAUGUCUGUGUCCAUCCUUUAUCAGUGUAAAGGGAAACCUUUUCUUCUUUCAACCUCAACCGUGAUCCUAGAUAUUUUAAUUCUCUUCUGCUUUCAUUUUGGGAAAUGGCGGUUGCGGUAUAUAUUAACUUCCUGUGAAUUCCAUAACAAACUAUCACAAAUAAGUGGCUUAAGACAAUGGAGAUUUAUUCUCUCACAGUUCUGGAAGCCAGAAGUUUGAAAUGAAGCUAUCAACAUUUCUACAUUCCCUCUGGAGACUCUAGAGGAUAAAAUGUUCUUAGUCUGUUUUGGCAUCUGUUGGUUUCUGGAAGUGCUUGGCAUGUGGCUGCAUCACUACCAUCUCUGUUUCCAUGAUCACAAUGCCUCCUCUUUCUUCUCCUCUCUGUCUAAUCAUCUCCCUCUUCCUUACUCUUAUAAGGAAAUUUGUCAUUGGAUUUAGGGUUCACUUGGAUAAUUAAGGGUGAUCACCUCAUCUCAAAAUCCUUAAUUACAUUUACAAAGACCCCUUUUUCCAAAUAAGGUAACAUUCACAGGUUCCAGGGAUUCAGAUGUAGACAUCUAUUUUGGGGGGAGGGGUCACCUUUUUACCCAUGACAGGGGAUUUAGGAGAAGAGAAAAGACCUUCCCAGUGGAUGGCUGUCAGUGUGUUGUAUAGGCAAAAUUAGUAGACGUUUUUAUGCCACCCAGGUUAACAGUCCUAUGGGAAGCUCCAAGGAAUGUUAUUAUGCUAAGUGACAAUCCUCAGAUUUUUUAGUCAGUGUCUGAAAGCUGGAGGAAUAAGGUGUUAAUGGGGGAAAAACUCAUUUGUAUAUAGUAUGCAUUGUCUUUAUUUUAAAGGAGAAAUGAACUUUAAAUUGUGAGUGAUUUGUCUAUUUCCCUCUACUUAUUUGUCAUCAGGUUCACAAAGGUCUCUAAUCAUUCAUUUUCUGAGUUUGAAUAUUCUAUAUCUUCUAGCUCACACUUCACAUCUUUUAGCAUCUCCUGGAGUGGAGAAACUGAAUAUAGAGACAGACAAUGGACAGUUUUUAUAAAAAAAUAGAUAUCUAUCCCAUAACUUGCAACAUCCAACCUAGAAAGCCAAAUCUUGAACUCUGCAGCAAACUGUUCAUGAAAUCAAACCACUGCCUCUUUGAGGUCAGCCUCAAACAGCUAGUACUUGGUUAAUAACUGCCAGCUUCCCUAAUUUUUGUCCCUACUUCCAACUUAAGACCAAUUGGAGAAAGCCAACUAUGCUUCUUUAAUCAAUCAUGUAAGAUGCCUUGCUUCUAGUUAGCCUCAAUUCAGCUUCCCCGUGCCAACAGCCACCAAUCAGGGUGCAUAUAAAGCUUUUCCUUUUUUUACGCCAUAAAGAUUUCCCAGUUCUUUGCCUUCUUUUCAAUCUCUGCAAAAUGCAAGUGAUUGUGGCUCACUCCUUUGCUAUAGCAAACUGAAUAAAUAGUCUUUAAUUGUUCUCAUUUUUGGUGGUUUUCAUUUAUUUCCACAGGAGGCGUAUGAAACUUUGGAAGGCUCUCUCACUCACCGAAAUGGAGCCGUAGGGCUCCGUGAGGCUUCCCUGAACCCCAUCAUCCUAGACUCUCACUUAGGCACUGCAACUCUGCAGUUGUGUUGCAAUGAGAGGCUGCCAGUCUUCUCUGGCUAGACUUUGGAAAUGAGAUACAACAGUCAUUUCUGCUUUCUGGUCCUCCUAAAAUUAGCUGAGAGAUUUUUGAAGAGUCUAUUCCUCCAUCUCCCUGGGGGUUUUGGGUUUUGGGUUUUAACCAUAAGAAGGGACUUUUUUUUUUUUUUUUUUUUUUGAUACGGGACUCUGUUGCCCAGGCUGGAGUACAGUGGCAAGAUCUCGGCUCACUGCGACCUCUGCCUGCUGGGCUCAAGCGAUCCUCCUGCCUCUGCCUCCUGAGUAGCUGAGACUAGAGGUGUGUGCCACCAUGCCUGGCUAUUUUUUAUAUAUAUAUAUUUUUUGUAUGGAUGGGGUUUCGCCAUGUUGUCCAGGCUGGUCUCUAACUUCUGGACUCAAGUGAUCCACCUGUCUCGACUUCCCAAAGUGGGGGGAUUACAGGCGUGAGCCACCGUGCCCGGCCAGGACUUCUUUUUUAGGGACCCCUACUACUGACUCAUUUUGUUGCUGUCUUCUCUCUUUUCAGAUCCUCCCUCCUCUUCCUGUAACCCGAUUGUGUAGGAAAGGCCUUUUAUUUUGCGUCUGUAAUGGGUUCAAGACCUGACGUUAUCACUUAUUAGCUGUGUCAUCUUGUGCAAAUUACUAACUGGCAACUCAUUUUCCUCCUCCAUGUAGUGGGGCUAACAAAUAGUACCUGCCUCAUAGGGUUGUGAGGAUUACAUGAGGUAUAUUCAUAUAAAAAAACUUUAGAAAAGUGCCGGGCAUAUAGUAAGUAUUCAAAAGUGUUGGCUUUACUUUUAAAGUAGACAAUAGUUCUAAACUUUUAUGAGGGCUGUGAUAGAAGUAGACAAUUAAUGUCAUCUAGGUCAUAAAGAAGAAUGGAGUUACAUUCAAUUAGAGAAGGAAGAUGUCAAGAAAAGCCUUAUAGGAAAGUUGUACUUCAAAGAUCAAUGAUUACUGUCAAGCAGAUGGUGGGAUGAAGCAGGACUACAAGUGUCUGCAAAAAGGCAAGGAAAUGCAAAGGUGAUGGUGAUGCAUGGUGGAGAAGGAUGGAUGUAACGGAGAGGUGGAAAAGAAUGAUCUACAGAUGCCGAUUUCAGCAAAUGAGUAUAGAGGCAUAUUGAUCAAUAGGUUUCAAAAAUUACUGUUUAAGAAGCACCUGGAGCUACUCAUUUAAAAUUCAACUAUCUUGUCCCCAGCUUUAGGGUCCUGCACUCCAGAUGAUUCUAAGGAACGUGAAUUUCCUACACCAAAUGCUGAGAAACUUUCUGUUGCAGGCUAUGUAGACUGUAUUAAACUUAUUUUUAAAAUGACUCCUUUAAUGCCGUUGUUCUGAACCCUAGCUGCCCAUUAGAAUCAUUAAGAGUGUGAUCCAGACAUUACAGUUUUAAAAAUUCCUUAGAAGAUUCCAGUGUUCAGCCAAGGUUGAAAAGCACUAAUCUAGCAGCAGUGUAGAGGGCAGACAUCAGAAUAGUAAAAUUAGAAAUAGGGGGUUAGUUAAGAUAUCAUUGCAGUAGUGCAGGCAAGAGUGAUGAGGACAUGAACAAAGGCAACAGCUGGAGAAGUAGAGUGUAACUGAAAUGUUGAGACUAACCCAUCUAGGGCUUGGUGAUUCGUUCCAUAUGGGGGUGAGGGAGUGCGUGAUAUUAAGGAUGACUACCAAGUUUCUGAAUUGGGAUUUGAGUGGAUGGACUUGCCAUUCAACAUGAUAGAACAACUGGAGAAGAAACAGAUUUGGAAGAAGACUAUCAUUUUAUAGUGGAGGUGGGGGCAAGGGAGAGGUGACCUAAAAUUAUUGUUGUUCUUUAGUAUUGGUUCCCAGAUUUCAGUGUACAAGAAAAAUCACUUGAGACCUUGUUAAGAAUAUAGAUUUUUACUCUGUUCUCUAUUUUCUUUUUAGGAGGACUUAGAAUAAGGCCAGUGAUCUGUUUUUUUCUUUCCUUUUUUUUUUUUGAACAAAUAGCCCCAGUAUGGUAUUUAAAACUCAGUUAAGUGUACUAAGAAGUAUUUACCCUCCCUUUGUCCAUGUGUUCUCAUUGUUCAACUCCCAUUUGUAAGUGAGAAUAUAUGGUAUUUGGGGCCUGUCAGGGGAGGAUGGCAGGGGUAGAGUGUUAGGGAAAAGAGCUAAUGCAUGCUGGGCUUAAUGCCUAGGUGAUGAGUUGAUAGGUGCAGCAAACCACCAUGGACACAUUUCCCUGUGUAACAAACCUGCAUGUCCUGCACAUGUACCCUGGAACUUAAAAAAAAUAAAUUUUUUUUAAAAAGAAGCACUUACAAAAUAAAACUGAAAGCAAAUUUAAAAUUAUACUGAAAGUAUAUUUCUUGCCUAUAAAUGGUAGUGAUUCUUAAAAGUUUGAUUAUGAUAGACAAUUUACAAUGUUUUUUACACAGCUAUAUAAAAUAUUCACAGUGUAAUGAAAUAAUUUUAAUGCGCGAUUGAAACAGGAAAGGCCCAUGUGUCAAACUGGUUAUGUUAGUGAAAGAGUUCUGUUUUUAUAGUUUUAAAAGUAACUGAUAUAUAUGGAUGUAUAUGUGGAUCCAUACCAGUAAGUGUCUCUUGUAUCAUAACUAUCCAUUCAUUCCAUCUUCAGGAAUUUCAGAAUCUCUUUAUUCUCCUUUGCUUUGUAAAACAUUUCAAAAUGCCAAAACUAAUUAAUUUGUAAUACUACUGCUGAUAAUUUUUAAUUAUGAAGUUAUUAAGUUCAGGUAUAUAGGUUAAGUUUGCUAAUUAUCUUGCUGGACAUUUGCAAACCUCUGCCAGCUGUUAGAAGAAAAAUUUCCCCAGAACACUAGUCAUUUCAUAUUAUAAUGUAUGGUGAAAACUACUGCAUAAGUAUCCCAAAACAAGUGGCAUGAUAUGUUUUUCUUUUAUGAUAAUCUUUUUAUCAAAAGUACAAAUUGUUUUGUCUUCAGAGACAUAAUUAAGUUAUUCUGUAGAUAGGUAAAUCUGAAUCUCAUACUCCAUAAAUGUAAUAUUUCCCCAUGUAUAUGACCUUAAGGUGUCAAAAUAAAAUAACAAUGGACAUUAACUCUUACUCCACGAUAUUCUUGACCAUUGAAUAUCUGAGGUGGUAGAGCCUUAAGGGUAGAAACCUUUAUUCUCAUUUAUUGAAGUACUUUAAAACUGAUAGAAACAUCUGUUAAUUCAUACUUUAUAUUGUAAGUCUCUAAAAUUCUAGUAACUUCUUCUUGUCUCUGCUUCACCUAGAUAGACAGAGGGAGAGAGAAAUAGAAAGAUGUUAAUCUGCUGGCUGGUCCCAAUGUUUUUAUAUUUUUUUCAUUUUCCCUGUCCAUAUAUUAUGGAACAGGAACAGCUUUUAACGGUGUAAUUUUCUUUGAGGGGCAAAAGUUAGAUAACUUUCUUGUGAAAUCAUAUAUAUACACACAUAUAUGUAAUAUGUAAAUAUAUUAAAUAGCUGUAUUUGAUAUAUAAUAUAUAUUUUAUUUUUCAUCCUCCCAUGGGUUUUAUUUCUAUAUUUAGGCAUAGUUUCUGAUUGUGAUUUGGAACUUGUAGUAUGUUUUCCUCAAAUUAAAAAACCUGGUAUCAAGUUCAUUUUCAUAUAUAUAUAAAGAAUUUUAGUGGGGGCAGAAAAUCCCUAAUGGGUUAUAAAUAUUUACCAGAUUGAUUUCAUAACACACUUGAAGUGGUAAGAACAUUCUGCUAACACUUGAGGCAGCCUUUGCACUCCUCACUGCAUUAAUUUAUGCUAAUAUCUAUGGCAGCUUUGUGUAGGAAAUGGACAUGAUACCAGGUUUUUAAGUUUGUGGAAACCAUACUACAAGUUCCAAAUUAUAAUCAUAGACUAUGCCUAAAUAUAGAGAUAAAAUCCACAGGAUGGAAAAAUAAAAGAAAAUAAAUACACAAGGGGAUUAAUAUUUACAAAUACGUGAGUGGAUAAAAGUGGUCAGUUCUUGCUAUGUUCUCUCGUGUGAACUGUAAGAUUUGUAUCAUCUGUUAACAGACUGUUUUUUUCCAUUGUCUUUUCCCCUGAAACACAUGUAACUGCUAAAGUAAAAUGUUAAUAGUUGGCUGUCUUUUAAACAUAUUUUUUAACUACAAUUUUAAAAAUAAGUACAGCAUGAAUGUUAGGUAAAGGUUGAGGUUUCUGUGUUUUUGCACAACAAUGUUAGGCCAUUUUGUCACAUAAAAUCUCUAAUGCUAGCAGGAGAAAACAUAUGUGAAAGUAAUUUGAGAGGUACAAACCCCAGUUUAUUCAAGUGGGAUUCCUGUGAAAGUCAGUGGGCUUUUUGUUUAAUGACUUGCAAAUAUUCCAGCCAUGCUUAAGAAACUCUGCCUAUUUCCAACAGACAGCAGAAAAAAUUCUGAAGUUCCAAAAUUCAGCAUUUCUCCCUUCUAAGCCUUCUUAGAUUUUGAGGUUGCAAAAGCAUGUUGAAUGUGACAUGUCACAUUUUUGUAGUAGUUUUUCAAAACCUUUUCAAAGGAAACCAUUAAGAGAAGAACAGCCUAGACCAAUGUUAUUCUGCGUGUGAUUCACAGACUGGCAGCAUCAGCAUUACUACACUUUAAGUCUACAAAAUCAGACUCACUGGGAAUGUGUCUUAGGUAUCUGUUUUAACAAGUCCUCUAGAUGAUUUUUUUGCUACAGUUUGGGAGUCAUGGACCAAUAGUUGGGUGAAUCUUUUGCUGCACCCAUCAUGGUCUUUAUUUAUUAAAUUAUUCUUUCUUAUGGAUGCUUAGUACCAUACUCAAUAACAUAAAUCACAGUGUUAAAAACAACAGCAACUAGUCAAAUAGUCCAUAAUUUUCUUUUUCUUUCUUUCUUUUUUAAAUCUGUAUAAAUGUAUGGGGUACAACUGCAGUUUUGUUGCAUGGGUAUAUUGCAGAGUGGUGAAGUCGGGUCUUUUAGUGUGUCCAUCACCUGAAUAAUGUACAUUGUACUCAUUAAGUAAUUUCUCAUUACCCACACCCCUCCCACCCUCCCAUUCUUCAUAACUUUCUUUUUAAAAACAGCCUUUUGCUAUCGGUGUUUCUUAAUACCCAAGUGAAAUCACUAAUCUACCAGACCAGGUUUUAUGCAACAGCAAUGCACUCUUUCUAGGCUGAGAUCAAACCUCAUUCCUGUCUGCAGUUAUCAUGGCGUCUGGCGCAUAGCAAUCAUGUAGAGUGUUUGUCAACCAUUUAUAAUAAUCUCCACAUCCUUCAGUUUUCAUUCUUCUCUAAAAACUUUGCAGAAUGAGGUUCUAAGUCAUAUAAUCGUCCGUCUUUAACUGUGCUAUCCAAUGUGAUAACCACUAGUCACAUGUGACUUUUGUGUUCUUGAAAAUUUGCUAGUCCAAAAUGAGAUGUGCCAUAUGCACGCAAAUCCAUGCUGGAUUUUGAAGACAAUGUGAAAAAAGAAUAAGUAACAUCUUUUAAAAACAUUGACUACAUAUUGCAAUGAUAUUUUGUAAAUUUUGUGUCAAAUAAAACUUUAGUAUCUUUUUUAAGUGGCAACUACAAUUUUUUAAAUUUGAUAUGUGACUCACAUUAUUAUAUUUUUGUUGGAAGGCAUGGUUCUAUAAUAUUUCUUUUAUCCCCAUCAAAAUAAUUCAUCUAAACUUUAAUUCAUCUAAGAAAUGUCUCAUCUAUGCAAAUACAAUUGCUUCUUAGAAAUCAACAACCAGUUUGCCCUUCUUUUAGGUUGCCUUGACUUCUUGGAUGAUUUUGGCCGUUUACUCACUGACAUUUUUCCUCUCCUGUACUAAACAGGAUUUUUUACUUCUUCCAUUUGAAACAUCUGCAAAAUUAUUGGAGGACCUUAAGAUGGUUGAGCUCAGAAUACUGAAACCUCCUGGAUCAUUCCAUUCUAAGAGCACAACCUAAGUGAGGGCAAUAAUCACUUUCUCUGUUUUCCUUGCACCUCCCACCUUUGAAAACUUAGAGUUGAAGAAUAGAAGGCAGAAACGGGCUGAUAAUGUCUUAGCACAAUCUUAAGUCUUCACUCCUACCCACUAUCCCCACCCCACUGGCUGAGGUUCUUUUCUUCCCACUCACCUCCUUAGAGCCUGACAUGCUGGUGUAAUAGACUUUAAUGGAACUCAUUGUUUCCACUGAGUCUACUUUGCAGAAGCAACACAGGGUCAGCCUCUUCACCGCUGCUUCAGGCUCAACUCCCAUACCCCGCCCUGCCCUUAUUCUUGGCCAUUGGUAAGGGCCAGCGGCCCAUGCACUCACCAUUGCCUGGGAAACAAGUGCCUCUGUAGCCUAGGCAAGGGUCCGUUCCAGGGAAUGCUGGUGAAGAGGAAGUGGAAUCCCCACUGGCUUGGGGGAGUGGUCUGGACACCUAGGGAUGAUAAACUACAGGUAAGUCCUCUUCUAUUGUCUCAUCUGCGAGGCUCAGGGGAGGGGGAGAGGGAAGAGCAAAUUGAAUCUGCAAUCCUGCUGCCUUUUCUCCCCCUCCAUGCUUGGGAAUGGAGGAGAACAUGAACUUUCCUGCUGUCAACUGCAGCCACGCUUGAAAGACCUAGAUACCUGAGGGAGAAAAUGGCCAAAAUAAAAUGUAAUCAGUGAAGAAAAGAUAAAUAAAAAUCACGUUGCUUGUGCUUGUAGGGACAGAGCAAAAGGUGCCUGUCAGGACAUGACCACUUUAUCAACUUUUGUUAUCUCUUAGCACAGGGAAAUGCCUCCAUUCUCCAGUCCUCCUCCCUUCUUGAGGGCCUGCUUUGUAAGCUGCCCUUUCCUUCUGGGAGUUGACCUUUUGGUUUCUGAAAUAGCGGGUUCAGUUGUCCCUGCCUGUCCUACACUUCCUCUUCCUUUUUCCUGUAUAAAAGGGACCUCUGUCUUAAAUGCUUGCUUCCUCUUCAAUACGUUCAUAUCUCAUUUUUUCAGCCUUUAUUUUUUAUUGUAACCUUGUAAAGUAGUGGAAAAUAGGAACAAUAUUUACAGGAUUUGGGCAGUUUGCCAAAUGUGGGGAAUGGAAAUUGAGAGUGAAGGGCCAAAGAACCUCAACUCCAAACGUUUGAGUUAGGCACAUUUAGAAUCUAUGGCUCUACCACUUAAUAACUAUGAAUCUCAGGUAAAUUACUUCCUCCAGUGUCAGUUUCUUUAUUGUUAAAAAGAGGGCAGUGAUACCAACCUAAAAGCAUCAUUGUGAGGAUUAAAAUAAUUGAGUACAUAAAAGUGUUUGGUAAACUGUCUGACACAUUGUAGGUAGUGCAGAAAAUGAUAAGUUUUGUUUAUGAUAAUAAGUGCCACACUCUCCAUAUUGCUUGGGAACACGUGCAUGAAUAAGACAAAAUGUUUACCUUCAAGGAACUCACAGAGUGAUAACUGGUAAGAUGAAGUAAAUACAAUUAAGAGAAAUCAAAACCAGGCUAGGUGGGUUAAGGCAUGUAUCUUUAAAGCACUGAAACCUGAUGGAUGUAUAUACUCUGCCAGGAAAUUAUGAGAAGGAAAACAUUUCAGGUAGAAGGACCGAUAAUGAAGCAAUGUGGUAAUUGGAGCUUUGGGAGCAAGUGGAGGAAAAGAUGGAGGCUGAGGAAGUAAACAAGGCAAAUCACAGAGGGGUUCAGCUUUCAUGUUGUAUUUUGAUUUUUAAUAAUUGGAGGGUAUUUUCUGUUUUUUAAAAUUGUGGAUAAUCCCAACUGGCAGAUUUGCUGCGAAGAUUAAGUGUAGAAGUUUCCUAAGAACAUCUUUCACUUAUGAGACACUCAAUAAAUUGUGUCUAUGCUUAUUAUUAAUUGAUGGGUGAUCAGAAGCCAUUGAAGAUUUCAGAAAGUUUGUGAGAAAGGUAGACCAAUCUAGGAUGGCAAUUGGAUUGGAAAGAGGCAAGGUUGGAAGCAACUACAACAAUCUAAGAACGAAAAGUCAUGAGAGAAGUGAAAAGGCAGAUAUUCUGAGGACAGGGCAUUGCUACAACUUGAUUGAGCUGGAGGUAGGGGUGAGGACGGCAAAAGAGGUGGGAUAUAACAUAAAGGAGUCUAUGUUAGAAGCAAAAAGUGUUCCAUUUUCCCAACACCUCACCAGCAUCUGUCAUUUUUUGACUUUUUAAUAAUAGCCAUUCUGAGCUUUUACACUGUUGGUGGGAGUGUAAAUUAGUUCAACCAUUGUGGAAGAUAGUGUGGUGAUUCCUCUAGGAUCCUGAACCAGAAAUACCGUUUGACCGAGCAAUCCAAUUACUGGGUAUAUCCCCAAAUGAAUAUAAAUCAUUCUGUUAUAAAGAUAUAUGCACACAUAUGUCUAUUGCAGCACUAUUCACAAUAGCAAAGAUAUGGAAUCAACCCAAAACCCAUUAAUGAUAGACUGGACAAAGAAAAUGUGGUACAUAUACACCAUGGAAUACUAUGCAGCCAUAAAAAUGAAUGAGAUUAUGUCUUUUGGAGCUGGAAGGCAUCAUCCUCAGCAAAGUAACACAGGAAAACAAAACCAAGCACCACAUACUCUCACUCAUAAGUGGGAGCUGAACAACGAGAACACAUUGACACCGGGAGGGGAACAACAUGAACUGGGGCCUGUCAGGGGGCAGAGGGAGGUGAGCAGCAGGACAAACAGCUAAUGCAUGUGGAGCUUAAUACGUAGGUGAUGGAUUGAUAGGUGCAGCAAACCACUGUGACACACAUUUACCUAUGUAACAAACCUGCACAUUCUGCACAUGUAUCCCAGAACCUAAAAAAAAAAUAAAAAAAAAAUAAUAACAAUAGCAAUUCUGACUGGUGUGAGAUGGAAUCUCAUUUUGAAUUUGAUUCGCACUUCUCUAAUAAUUAGUGAUACUGAAAAUUUUGUCAUAUGCGUGUUGGCUGGGUCUAUACCUUAUUUUGAAAAAUGUCUGCAUCCUUUGCCUGCUUUUUGAUAGGGUUUUUUUUUAUGCAUGUUACUUUAAGUUCCUUAUAGAUUCUGGAUAUUAGACCUUUGUUGGGUGCAUAAUUUGCUAAUAUUUUCUCCCAUUUAAUAGAUUGUCUGUUUACUCUGUUGAUAGUUUCUUUUGCUGUGCAGAAGCUCUUUAGUUUAUUUAGGUUCCAAUUGUCAAUUUGUGUUUCUGUUGCAAUUGCUUUUGGCAUCUUGGUCAUAAAAUCUUUUCCAGGUCCUUUGUCCAGAAUGGUGUUUCCUAGGUUAUCCCCCAGAAUUCGUAUAGUUUUAGGUUUUAUAUUUAAGUGUUUAAUCCAUCUUGAGAUAAUUUUUGUAUAUGGUGUAAGAAAGGGCUUCAGUUUCAGUCUUCUGCAGAUGGGUAGCCAGUUGUUCCAGCACCAUUUAUUCAAUAGGGAGUCCUUUCCCCAUUGCUUGUUUUUGUCAAUUUUGCUGAAGAUCAGAUGGUUGUAGGUGGCUGGCAUUAUUUCUGGAGUCUCUAUUCUGUUCCAUUAGCCUAUGUGUCUUUUUUCUUGUACCAAUAUCAUGCUAUUUUGGUUACUGUAGACUUUUAGUAUAGUUUGAAGUCAGAUAAUGUGAUGCCUCCAGCUUUGUUCUUUUAGCUUAGGGUUGCCUUGGCUAUUCGGGCUCUUCUUUGGUUCCAAAUGAAUUUUAAAUUAGAGUUUUCUAAUUCUGUAAUGAAAUUUGUGUUUGAUAGGAAUAGCAUUGACUUGGUAGUUUCAUAGGAAUAGCAUUGAAUGUGUAAAUUGCUUUGGGCACUAUGGCCAUUUUAACAAUAUUGAUUCUCCCUACCUAUGAUCAUGGAAUGUUUUUCCAUUUGUUUGUGCCAUCUCUGAUUUCAUUAAGCAGUAUUUUGUAAUUCUUGCUGUAGAGGCUUUUCACCUCCUUGGUUAGCUAUAUUCUUGAGUAUUUUAUUCUUUUUGUGGCUAUUUUGAAUGGGAUUGCAUUCUUAAUUUAGUUCCCAGCUUGGAUGUUGUUGGUUUAUAGGGAUGCUACUGAUUUUUGUACAUUGAUUUUGUGUCCUGAAACUUUGCUGAAGUUGUUUAUCAGAUAGAUCAAGGAGCUUUUGGGCAGAGACUAUAGGGUUUUCUAGCUAUAGAAUCAUAUUGUCUGCAAACAGGGAAAAUUUGCCUUCCACUCUUCCCAAGUGGAUGCCUUUUAUUUCUGGCUCUUGCCUAAUUACUCAGGCCAGGACUUCCAGUACAAUGUUGAAUAGGACUAGAGAGAGAGCGUAUCCUUGUCUUGUUCCAAUUUUCAGUGGGAAUGCUUCCAGCUUUUACCCAUUCAGUACGAUGCUAGCUAUGGGUGUUUCAUAGAUGGUGCUUAUUAUUUUGAAGUAUUUUCCUUCAAUGCCUAGUUUGUUGAGGGUGUUUAACAUGAAUAAAUAUUGAAUUUUACGGAAGAUCUUUUCUGCAUCUAUUGAGAUGAUCAUGUGGUUUUUACUUUUAGUUCUGUUUAUGUGGUGAAUCACAUUUAUUGAUUUGUGUAUGUUGAAUCAACCUUGCAUUUUAGGGAUGAUGGUGGAUUAGCUUUUUGAUGUGCUGCUGGACUUUGUUUACUAUAAUAUUAACAGUAUUUUGUUGAGGAUUUUUGCAUCUAUGUUCAUCAAGGAUACUGCCUUGAAACUUUCUUUUUUUGUGUGUGUCUCUGCAAGGUUUUGAUAUCAACAUCACGGUGGCAUCAUGAGUCAGGGAGGAGUCCAUCCCCGUCAUUGUUUUUGAAGUAUUUUCAGUAGGAAUGGUACCAGCUAUUUUUUUAUGCACCUGGUAGAAUUCAGCUGCGUUUUUGGUCCUGGGCUUUUUUUGGUUGGUAUGCUUUUUAUUACUGAUUCAAUUUCAGAACUUGUUAUUGGUCUGUUCAGGGAUUCAAUCUCUUCCUGGUUAAAUCUCAACAUGUUGUAUGUUGCCAGGAAUUUAUUUCUUCUAAGUUUUCUGGCUUGUGUGCAUAGAGGUAUUCAUAAUAGUCUCCGAGGGUGUUUUUUUUUUUUCUAUUUCUGGGUUAUCAUUGGUAAUGUCCCCUUUGUCAUUCUGAUUGUGUUUUUCUCUUUUUUUAUUAGUCUAGCUAGCAGUCUAAUUUCUUCCAAGGAACAAACUCCUGGAUUCGUUGACCUUUUGUAUGGUUUUUCUUCUCAUUUUUCUUCAAUUUAGCUCUGAUUUUGGUUAUUUAUUUUGUCUUCUGCCAACUUUCGGGUUGGGUUGCUCUUUUCUCUCUCUUUUUCUUCUUCUUCUUUUUUUUUUUAAAUAGGUUUCAUUAUGUUUCCAGUGUAGGAUUGUGACAUACCUCCUCAUUUCACUGUGAGCCAUUCCCUUGACUCUAAGCUACAUUAGUGCACUACUUCUCACAAGAGUGCAUCUUUGACAACCUAAAAUAAUUAGGUUACUAUUGCAUACAAAAUUAUAACCUACUCUAUAGUAUGUUUGUGAUAAUCAUUUAUAAUGGUAAAACUGUAAAACAAAAGCUGUAUUGAUAAUUGUAGAUAAAAAUGUGAACUACAUAGAUAUUUUGCUUAUGCUGCCUAGUCUACUUUGGCAGUUUGCAUCUGGGUGUAUAAAUCCUUCUAAAAAACAGGUAAGACAUUUGUGAGGCUGAGGAAAAUACAUUAUAAAGAGGGUAGUAAAGAUUUUUCUUCUUCUUUUGUGUGUGUAAAUGUUUUAUUAUUAUUCAAGUAAUACGUGAAUACAUGCUCAUUUGUACAAGAAUUCAAACCAUGUGUAAAUAUAUAGAGUAAAAUGGAAAAUAUUCCUUCAGUUACCUCCUACCUCUGUCCCUCCAGAGGAAGCUACUAUUAAGAAUUUGAUUUGUAUCCUUUUCCGCCAACAUGGUUACACAUAUUAAGGUAACUAAAAGGGAGAAAAAGUCAGUUUAACAAAGAAGUUAAGCAUGCUUUCUUUGAAGCUGGGCUGCCUGGGUUAAAACCCAGAUUCUGUUACUUAAUGUUGUGUGAUAUUGGUGAUGUUAUCUAAUGUCUCUGUGCCUGGGUUUCCUCAUAGGUAAAAUGGGGAUAUUAAGCACUUCAUAGACAUGUUAUGAGGAUGUCUUUAGCAUGUGUGAAGUAUUUAGAAUAGUGCCUGGCAUAUAGUGCACACAAUUCAUCAUGGAAUCAUGAUGCAUAUAUUGUUUCACAACUUGUAUUCUGUACACAUAGGGGAAAUGUAGUGUAGCCAUUAAGAGGAUGGAUUCUGGUUCUGAAUCCAAUUAUCAGGUGCAAAUCCUAGUUCUAUCAUUUACUAGCUUUAUGCCUGUCAGGAAGUAUAUAAACUUCCUUUGUUUUCUCUGUAAAAUGGGGGUAGUAGCUUUAGCUCUAAAUUAAGUACUAUAUAUAGGACAUUUAGAAUGACUGACAUGUAGUAAUUACUCUGUAGAUGCUUAUUAUUAUUAUGUCAUUGAAAGCACUCAGUUUAUUAUUUCAUGUUAUAGAUAUAUUAUAAUUAAUUUAACAAUUCGUAGUUGAUGGUCAUUUAGAUUACUUCUAAUUAUUCAUUGUUACAAAAUAUUCUGGUAUCCAUACUUUAACUAAAAAUGGAAUUACCAUUUGACCCAUUAGACCCACUGCUGGGUACCUAUCAGAAGAAAAAUAAAUUGUUAUAUCAAAAAAAAAAAACACCUGUACUUGUGUGUUUAUCACAGCACUAAUCACAAUAGAAAAGUCAUGGAAUCAAUUUGAGUGUCCAUCAGUAGAUGAUUGGAUAAAGAAAAUAUGGUAUAUACACACAAUAGAAUACUACCCAGCCAUAAAAAAAGAGUGAAAUCAUGUCUUUUGCAGCAGCAUGAAUGGAGUUUGAGGCCAUUAUCCUAAGUGAAAUAACUCAGAAAGAGAAAACAAAAUACCACACUUUUCCACUUACAAGUGGGAGCUAAAUGGGUAUAAAUGAGCAUACGGAGGAAAAUAAUAGACACUGGAGACUACAGAAGGGAGCAGGUUGGGAGGGGGAUGAGGGUUGAAAAAUUACCUGUUGGGUACAGUGCUCACUUUUCAGGUGAUGGGUAUGCUAGAAGCCUAAACUCCACCACUGCACAAUAUAUCCAUGUAACAAACCUGCACAUGUACCCCAUGAAUCUAUAAAUAUUUUUUAAAAAUUAAAAUAACCUUGUCUCUGCCUUAACUUGUAUGAAAAAAAGCUAGUGCUAUUAACAUUUUCCCAUUCUCAUUGUUACUGAAAACUUGAAUAAACAUUUUCAAGAUCCUCUUUUGGAUCACUACCAUACCGAACACGUGAUCAAUCCAUGUCAUUUUCUUAUUAGUUUGGUUCAAUCCCAGGGUGUGAGUGGAAAGCAGAACAAUUUGUGUGGUUAAAGCUUUAUUUUUGAAGAGUAAACGAAAUAUGAGAACUAAAUGAGCCAAACAGGACAUCUUCUGUGUUUUUACUGUUGGAGUCUCAGAAAAACAAAUCUUUAGGUAUCCUGAUAUUUCAAAAAGAUGUGAGAAGAAGAAGAGAGACCUCUCCAGCUGUUAGUGAACACAUUCUCAUUAGGGUAAGCUGUCUGUAUAUUAUGUAGGUGAUCUCAUUGACUAGAACUAAUCCUUACCUGUUUGGUCAUACUAUACUUGGGUUUUUCUCCUAAUAAAAGGAGGCAUAACUAUGCAACUUCCAAUUUUGCAUCCAUCUGCAAUUAGAAAAAUUGAGAAACAAGUUUAGAUCAUGAGGGAGUAAGAACACCAAGAACCCGUAUUCUAGCCUUUGCUCUAUUACUAUACAGCUUCCCAUAUUAUCUUGGGGAAAACUUUUAACUUUUUUGUGGCUUUGAUUUCCUAAUCAGUAAAUUAAAAUGGUUGUUUACAUGAUCUCCAAGGGCCUAUCUAGGUUGAACAGUCAUGAAUUAUGAAUGUUUUCACUUCAAAUUUUUAUUACAAGUACUUUUGGUUUCUUUACUAAUUCAUAAUUCUAGGUUACAUUAUUUCAGUAACUAAGUUUAUUUUCCAUUUGCUAUUAUAAAGCAAUUGCUUAUAAACUGACCUACGUGGCCAAUAUGUAAUUGGAAAUUUUUCUUGGGAUAUUUUAGUUCUUGGUGGAGCUUUUAAUACUGUCUCAAUCACUGAGGAUUUAUAAAGAUUUCAACAGUUAAAUUACAAAAUACGCUCUUUGACAUAGGGUUUCAGAAGUACCCAGAAUUGAAAGGAAAAUGCCUUCUUUCUACAUUAGAAACAAGGAGGAGCCAUAGAAAUUUGAAAGUAAAAUUUAUAUCAGUUAUUUUAUCUUUUUAUAUAAAUAGAAUUUAAAAUGUUGAUUAUAAUAUGUGGACUAUUAUUGCAUAUAACAACAAAAUGUUAAACAUAAACUAUUAAGAGUGAUUUUGACUCACUGAUACUGAAAAAAAGUUGGGUAUUUUAAUCAAAGAAUAGAUGAGCACUCAAAGACUAUUCUGCUUCUAACAUCAUUUUGGCACAGUCCAUAAUUUUCUGGGACACAUUUUCAGUGCAUAUACUGGCUUUCUAUUUGUAAAACAUGUAAGUUUUAGUAAUAAUAAUUUGUCUAAGACUGUGUACAUAUAAGCAUGGCUAAUGCAACUCUUUAUAUCCUUUUCCUCAAAUAUUAUUAUUUGAUUGCUCAAGUUGUAAAAAGAAAUCUGUUGUUUUUAUUAUAAUUGAAUGACAUCUUUAGGUUAAUUAGAGGGAAAUUCAGUUUUACUGUCCUAUUGCUGCCAUAUGAAAACUGACUUCAAUGAUUGCAUAAUAUAUAUAAUAUAAUGCAUAUAUAUAAAUUAUAGGAAAUAAUUUAUUGAACAAAUUUUUAGAACCAAAUCAAACUUUAUUUUUUCCAACAUAUUAUUUUUUAAAAUAUCAAGCCUAUGGAAUUUCAAAAACAAGCUGGGCACUGUGGCUCAUGCCUGUAAUUCCAGCACUUUGGGAGGCUGAGAUGAAUGGAUUACUUGAGGCCAGGAAUUCGAGACCAGCCUGACCAACAUGGCGAAAACCCUUCUCUGUUAAAAUACAAAAAUUAGCCUGGCGUGGUGGUGCAUGCCUGUAACACCAGCUACUCGGGAGGCUGAAGCAGGAGAGUCGCUUGAACCUGGGAGAUGGAGGUUGCAGUGAGCCAAGAUCGCAUCACUGCACUCCAGCCUGGGUAACAGAGUGAGAGUCUUGUAUAUAUGUAUAUAUUAUUGUCAUUUGCUGAAUUAUUUGAGACUGAAUUGCAGAUAUCCUGACUAUUCACCCCUUAAUAUUUCUUAAUCCAUUAAUAUUUUCUUUAAAAAAAGGCCAUUCUAGUACAUAAUCACAAUCUAUCAAAUGCACAAAGGUUAAAUUGAUAAAAUGGUGUUAGCUAACAUAUUUUCAUAUUUUAAAUUUUGCCAAAUGUCCCCCAAUUUUUAAUAGUAUUUUUCUCCUGAUCCAUGAUCAUGCAGUACAUCCAGUUGUCAUAUUUUUAAAUUACCUUUAAUAUAAAACUAUUUUUCAGUUUUCAUUGCCUUUUAUGACACUGGCAUUUUUGAAGAGUACAUGCAAGUUGUUUUGGAGAAAAUAACUCAAGUUGGAUUUAUUGAUUGUUUCUUCAUGAGUAGGUAAGUUAUGCAUCUUUUGUGAUGCUAUAACACAUUAAAGUUUUAAUGUUAAUAUUUGAAGCCCUUUGUCAAUUUUUCCCUUUUCCCCACCCUUGGCCCGUAUCUAUCCAAACUUCUUUUGCAUAAAUCUCUUAUAUAAAUUCCUUAUUUUCUACCAUACAUUUUACUCAUGCUCUUCAUAUUACACAAAAUGACUUAUUUUUACCAUACAUAACCCCAUUUCAUCAGGGCCUGCCUCACAGUGCACAUUUUAAUAUUAGCCUUCUCUUACUCUACCUUUUCCUGCUUCUUUGCUAAAUUUGCCUUUUCUUGUUGCACUUGUACAUAUACACGUGCCAAGUUUGAACUUGGUCUGUAUCUACUUUUUGUCUUGCCUCUCUAGUUUGGUUCAAAGACAGAGAGCAUGCUGUUUAAUUGUUUUGUUUCUUCCAUGGUACCAAGCCCAGAUCUUCAGUAGAUGAAUAAAUCCAUCUCAUGAUUCUGAUUAAUAUGUACAUUUGUAAUUUUAUAUUUAUUUAUUUACUUUUAAGACAGGGUCUGUUGCCCAGGCUGGAGUGCAGUGGUGCUAUCACUACUUACUGCAGCCUCAAACUCCUGGGCUCAUGCAAUCCUCCCACCUCAGAUUCCCCUAUAGCUGAGACUACAGGCAUGCACCACCAUUCUCAGCUAAUUUUGUGAAAUUUUUUUAUAGACACGGGGUCUCAUCAUGUUGCCCAGGCUGGUCUCGAACUCCUGGGUUCAAGCCAUCCUCCUGUCUCAGCCUUCCAAAGUGCUGGGAUUAUAGAGUUCUUUGAUCAUUUGCUGGCUGGGAUAGAAGAUAUAUCAGGACACUGGGGACAAUAUUACUGGAAAGACAAGUGAGGAUUUGCCAAAAGCAUACCUGUGUAUAUGUAUAGAAAAAAAAUGAGUCUGUUUAUUUUUCUGUAUGUUUCUGUUGGCAGUAGUUGAGCUUUAUUCGUCCACAUGACAUUAAAAAGAUGACAGCUAAAAACAAAGGCAGAAAUCUUUCUUUUUCUUUCCCUUACCAGGAGAGACAUGAUUGAUAUAAAAUCCAGACUCUAAAACUAAAACAGUGUGCCAUAAAAUUUCUGGCCAUCCCUUUCUCUUGAGAAUAUUAUGCACAGAUACAGAGAAAGGGGGUUUACAUCAAAUCAUAUUGCUAUCCUAUGUAAACCUUCUAAUAUUUUGCCACUUAAAAAUAUCCAAACUUUUACCUUGGUUUAGAAAGCACUGCACCAACUGGCUAUUACGCUUUCUUGCCUCAUCUCAUACUAUUCUCCCUGUCAUUUACUACACUUCAGCCAUAUUGUCAUUCUGUCUGUUUCUUCAAUACAUUGAAUACAGCCCAUUUUUACCUUAAAGCCUUUGCAUAAUGUUCUCUUUGCCUGGGAUGUUCUACAUGAUCCUUUAAUGCCCAGAAUUUUCUUGUCAUUCAAGUUUUAGUUUAAUUUUGUCUCCUCAGAGAGUUUUCCCCUCACUACUCAAUCAUUCUCUAUAUUAGUGGACUGUAAUUCUCUGAAGAACACAUAACUCUGAUAUUUUAAUACUUAAUCUUACUUAUUAAAUAAUAUUUUUUACUUUUAAUUUAAAAAACAUUAUAAAAAUAUAUUGUUAUUUUUACUGUAUGUUU